rnacentral:miRNA from 1 species
CUUCCUGCCGGCGAGGUACACGUACCUCGUCGACUGGAAGGAAAUCCUUCCGGCCGACGAGGUACAUGUACCUCGCCGACUGGAAG